GGAGAGUUUGAUCCUGGCUCAGGAUGAACGCUAGCGGCAGGCCUAACACAUGCAAGUCGAGGGGCAUCGGGAUUGAAGCUUGCUUCAAUUGCCGGCGACCGGCGCACGGGUGCGUAACGCGUAUGUAACCUACCUAUAACAGGGGCAUAACACUGAGAAAUUGGUACUAAUUCCCCAUAAUAUUCGGAGAGGCAUCUCUCCGGGUUGAAAACUCCGGUGGUUAUAGAUGGACAUGCGUUGUAUUAGCUAGUUGGUGAGGUAACGGCUCACCAAGGCAACGAUACAUAGGGGGACUGAGAGGUUAACCCCCCACACUGGUACUGAGACACGGACCAGACUCCUACGGGAGGCAGCAGUGAGGAAUAUUGGUCAAUGGACGCAAGUCUGAACCAGCCAUGCCGCGUGCAGGAAGACGGCUCUAUGAGUUGUAAACUGCUUUUGUACGAGGGUAAACUCACCUACGUGUAGGUGACUGAAAGUAUCGUACGAAUAAGGAUCGGCUAACUCCGUGCCAGCAGCCGCGGUAAUACGGAGGAUUCAAGCGUUAUCCGGAUUUAUUGGGUUUAAAGGGUGCGUAGGCGGUUUGAUAAGUUAGAGGUGAAAUCCCGGGGCUUAACUCCGGAACUGCCUCUAAUACUGUUAGACUAGAGAGUAGUUGCGGUAGGCGGAAUGUAUGGUGUAGCGGUGAAAUGCUUAGAGAUCAUACAGAACACCGAUUGCGAAGGCAGCUUACCAAACUAUAUCUGACGUUGAGGCACGAAAGCGUGGGGAGCAAACAGGAUUAGAUACCCUGGUAGUCCACGCAGUAAACGAUGAUAACUCGUUGUCGGCGAUACACAGUCGGUGACUAAGCGAAAGCGAUAAGUUAUCCACCUGGGGAGUACGUUCGCAAGAAUGAAACUCAAAGGAAUUGACGGGGGCCCGCACAAGCGGAGGAACAUGUGGUUUAAUUCGAUGAUACGCGAGGAACCUUACCCGGGCUUGAAAGUUACUGACGAUUCUGGAAACAGGAUUUCCCUUCGGGGCAGGAAACUAGGUGCUGCAUGGUUGUCGUCAGCUCGUGCCGUGAGGUGUCGGGUUAAGUCCCAUAACGAGCGCAACCCCUACCGUUAGUUGCCAUCAGGUCAAGCUGGGCACUCUGGCGGGACUGCCGGUGUAAGCCGAGAGGAAGGUGGGGAUGACGUCAAAUCAGCACGGCCCUUACGUCCGGGGCUACACA
rnacentral:rRNA from 1 species